GCGCACACCCUGGAGGACAUGGUACUGGCUAACAGUAUGGGUCAUGGGAGAGGCCAAGGAUGGCGCUCAGUCCUCUGGUUCGGGGCACCCCCCGUUGUCACCGCCGUGAAGGAGGUGGGAGAGCGAGGAAGGUGCCCCCCAAGACCCGCGGCCAGGCCGGUGCUGGUGCAGGCCUCCUUCGCUAGGAAGGGGCUCUUGCCUCGACGGGCUUUUCUUCUAAGCAGUGGCUUCUGCAGGGUUCAGAAAGUUACAGGAGUCCUUGUUUCUGGCCAAUCCGUCAGCCUUUAUGAAGUAUACACUCUGCCCCGGGACAGAAUUUAACCUAAAAUAAGCGUAAAAUACGUGAUGGAAACUUCAGCUCUUAGCCACAUGUGGUCAGACGGCACAGCUUGCUAAAAUGUCACCUUACUUACGGAUCGGACUGUAUUUACUCUGAGUAGAGGCUUAACACAUAACUACUCGAUCUUUCUCCCACUCGCCCUCCACGUCCCCCCCACCCCCGGGACUGGAAACACAGGGAGAGGAAGAGGAUGCCAAGCCGAGGCCAAAUCACGCGUGGAGUUUAAGCGUAUGCCUUUGUUUGUCAUCUUGCAAAGGCCUCGCUCGCCUCCCAGACCCAUUCCCUAGCAGGGCUUGCUCGCUUUCCCACUUCCCAGACGGCAAAGGGGUCCGUGCCUCUUCUCCCUCCGUCUCCCCGGUUUUCAAGCUUGUCCCUCCACUGGCCUUCAUCAGCUCCCCCUUCAGCCUCCCUUGAGUGAAAUCACAUCUCAAAGUGGAGAUUAGAUCCUUACGUGGGCACAUGGGCAAGAGUCCCAGCUGCUCAGAAGGGUUCUAGCAGAUUUCUCAGAUCACCCGUGACGUCAGCUGUGGCUGUAGGAACACAGCCCUGCGGGGUGCCAUGUAGGCCUGAGCGCAUGGAGUAGUACGUCCGUGUAAGGCAUGUGUACUGCGCAAGGCGCUGCUAUGCGAGGUGACAGUCCCACGGCAUGAAGCCCAAAGAGGGAUCAGACCGGGGAAUUCGAUGAAGCCAAGGCGCCCAGGCCCCCUUUCCCUCUCUGUCCUGCCAGCGCAGUUCAUGGCUUCCUCCCCGUGGCUGCUGCGGCUCCAGCCACUGCACACACAUUCCAGACAUUAAUUUGUUAAAAAUGGGGAAGGGGCAGGUGGAUUUCUCUCGGGAGAGAUGGUUUGAGGACUCUGAAGAACAUUUGCCUCUUUCUGUCCAACUUAGCAUUCUUAUUUCAGGAUUUCUUUUUUCCCUGCUGGACCGGCUCUGCCAUCUUGCUGGCCUCCGUCACUAAUGAUCCAUUACACGUCCCACCUUGAAUUCCCACGUCUGUCUCAUGGGCCAGACCUGAGUCCUCGGCCACACCUUGCUGCCAGGGAGGCUGGAGAGUCCAGCCUUCUAGCUAAGUGCAACCCCCUCCUGGUGGAAAUCUAGGGGCUCUGACUAGGACAGGCCAGAGAUGGAAGAGCGGCGAGCAGCAGCAGCGUUUGCACAAGGACACAGCAACUGGUUGGACCUGAGCGGUGUGUUCACCUUUGGAUGGAGUUGGCCCCGGCCUCUGUCGCCGUCCUCAGCACGCCUCCCUGUGACGCAGUCAGGUUCUAACACACGGAACCUAUCCACGGAACAGCACCCAGAUCAAGAAACAGAAGAUACCCUCACACCGGAGGUCCCCCUCACGUCCCUGUUCAGUCAUCAUCCUCACUUCUCUCAGCAGAGAUUAGAUGCACCUGCAUUUAUACUUGAUAUAAAUGGGGCCCUAGAGUAGGUAUGAUUCCUGUCCAGCGGUUUCUAUUCGACAUUGUAUUUAUGAGAUCCACGCGCAUCGUUGCACGCAGCAGUAGGUCGUUCUUUUUCACGACCACAUAAUAUUCCAUUGUGUGAAUUCCCCACCAUUUAUUUUUAUCUGUUCUUGAUUAAUGGACAUUUAGGGAACUUUCCAGCGUUAGGUCUUGAGCACAGUAUGGCUUACCGAAAUUCUAGUACACGUUAAAAAAGAGAUUAACAUUGCCUCUCUCUCUCUGUGUCUCUCAUGAAUAAAUAAAUAAAAUCUUUAAAAAAAAAGAAUUUACUGAUAAGUAUUGUACAAAAAUUAAAAAAAAGAGAGAUUAACACGUGUCAAAAUGGCAUUCGAGGAAAGGAAGUGUUAUCAGAAAAGAGGUAAAUGUAGCCUGAUUUUCAGAUUAUGUCAUUUUCUAUCCGCAAAACUCAAGAGAAUCAAUUCAAACCAUCAUCAUUAAUAACAGAAUUUAGUAGAGUCAAGACAAAAAAAAAAGAGUAAAGACAAAGAGAAAGCCAAGGAGAGCUGGAUGGGGAAGGGCGCAGGAAGAAGACCUGGCAAAGGGAGGAAAAGCAAGGAGAGAAGCCAGUGGCUGCGCCCUGUAAGCACCAAGCUCUGAGCUCCCGCGUGAGGGAGGCCUGACUCAGCAACCGUUGACGCUCUUGGGGGAUCAUUUCCUGAGUGCGUUUUAUGAGCCAAGAAUCGUUUUAUGGACUUUUUGAGGGUUUUCAGCUCGGAAACCUAACUAUAUUUCUUGAGGCCCUUGGUGGGCUCACGGCAAGGAGUUGUGCCAGGAGGUGAAGACAUUGAGAGGAACGCUGGGGGCUCUGGGGGCUCUCCACUAUUUCAGGGCACGAGUCUGACGUGGCAGGAGUCAGAGAGGAGAUAAUAGCCUCCUCCUCCUCCGUGGAACCCAGCACUGCUCUGGGUCCCCCGAGCCGCGGAAACUCAUGGUGCCUCAAUGGGUUCAGCCUUGCUAUGAACAUCGGCGUUCUUGUGAGCCCCCCAGUGACCUCUGGGGUCUGCAGGCUUGAUACCUGGGAGCCAGGGAAGAAAAGCGGGGAGACACCGGACGCUUGCCCCCGGGGACGAUCUGAUUUGGAAAAUCCUACAAGCCCUGCCCUUUUGGACUCCCUGCUGUCCAUGUGGGAUUGCUCACGGUGCUGCUCACCUUUGAAGGGCAUGACUGUUGUGACAUGACCUUGGGACACAGGGACCAGCAGUGCGGGGCAGAGAGAGGACAAUCCAAGCUGGCUAAAGUGCUUUGUGAAGCACGAAACAACUCUGAUUGAUGAGGCAGCAGCCGGCUUCCAUAACCUAGGAGUUGGGCCUCCUGUGGGGGCUCAGUGGUGGAGCGUCUGCCCUAGGCCCAGGUCGUGACCCCGGGGUCCUGGGAUCGAGCCCCGCAUCAGGCUCCCUGUAGGGAACCUGCUUCUCCCUCUGCCUGUGUCUCUG